UGAAUACCUGAGGUACCAGCAUGAUC
rnacentral:piRNA from 1 species